GAUGAACGCUGGCGGCGUGCCUAAUACAUGCCAGUCGAGCGAACAGAUAAGGAGCUUGCUCCUUUGACGUUAGCGGCGGACGGGUGAGUAACACGUGGGUAACCUACCUAUAAGACUGGGAUAACUUCGGGAAACCGGAGCUAAUACCGGAUAACAUUUGGAACCGCAUGGUUCUAAAGUGAAAGAUGGUUUUGCUAUCACUUAUAGAUGGACCCGCGCCGUAUUAGCUAGUUGGUAAGGUAACGGCUUACCAAGGCGACGAUACGUAGCCGACCUGAGAGGGUGAUCGGCCACACUGGAACUGAGACACGGUCCAGACUCCUACGGGAGGCAGCAGUAGGGAAUCUUCCGCAAUGGGCGAAAGCCUGACGGAGCAACGCCGCGUGAGUGAUGAAGGGUUUCGGCUCGUAAAACUCUGUUAUUAGGGAAGAACAAACGUGUAAGUAACUGUGCACGUCUUGACGGUACCUAAUCAGAAAGCCACGGCUAACUACGUG
rnacentral:rRNA from 1 species